rnacentral:rRNA from 1 species
GUGCCAGCCGCUGCGGUAAUACGUAGGUGGCAAGCGUUGUCCGGAUUUAUUGGGCGUAAAGCGAGCGCAGGCGGUUCUUUAAGUCUGAUGUGAAAGCCCCCGGCUUAACCGGGGAGGGUCAUUGGAAACUGGGGAACUUGAGUGCAGAAGAGGAGAGUGGAAUUCCAUGUGUAGCGGUGAAAUGCGUAGAUAUAUGGAGGAACACCAGUGGCGAAGGCGGCUCUCUGGUCUGUAACUGACGCUGAGGCUCGAAAGCGUGGGAGCAAACAGGAUUAGAUACCCUGGUACGUCCACGCCGUAAACGAUGAGUGCUAAGUGUUGGAGGUUUCC